UUAAAGUUGUUGCAGUUAAAAAGCUCGUAGUUGAACCUUGGGCCUGGCUGGCCGGUCCGCCUCACCGCGUGUACUGGUCCGGCCGGGCCUUUCCUUCUGGGGAACCCCAUGCCCUUCACUGGGCGUGUUGGGGAACCAGGACUUUUACUUUGAAAAAAUUAGAGUGUUCAAAGCAGGCCUUUGCUCGAAUACAUUAGCAUGGAAUAAUA
rnacentral:rRNA from 1 species